ensembl:lncRNA
AUGUACUCAAAGAGGCUCUUUGCUUUCGGCUAACAUCUCUUUUAAACACAUCAAGAAAAAGAAAGGAUUGGAAAUAGUUCGGUUUGCUUGUUUAUUUAAGUACAGACGCGACUGCGAAGAGUCGGGGCAAAACGGCAGCGCAGCUGCGCGGGAGUCGUUCUGAAAAUAGAGCGUACGGAGCUGCGCCUCUUAGGGCUGAGACUGCGCCGUGUGCUGAGCUGCACCCGGGGAGGAGGGAGCCUGCCGGCGGCCCAGCUCUAUGCUCUUCAUUUUGCUCUGCAAAAACAGCUCUAGGUUUGGCCAGGAGCAGGAAAGGAAUGCGUUUAUCCUGCGCUGGGCUGCGCGUAAAGUGGGCGCUGUGGGAUGCCGUGUUUCUGCGCCUCGGCUCCUUCUUCUCUGGGAAGAGUAGCAAAGAUCUGACUGUAAAAGCAGGUUUGCAGGCAGACAGGAAGGACUGCCCCUGAGAAGUAAAGGGGCUUUUAUUUCCAGGAGCACAUUGACCCCAGAGAGAGGAGGAUGAAAGAGUGCAGUCCCUGGCUUGACGUGAUGAUGGUGGUUUGAAGGGGACCCGCCAGAACUCCGAGAUUCAGCCCUAGGCGCACCUCCUUCCUUCCCCGCCCCCCCCGGCACCGACGAGGAGAGGCAUCAUCCAGCCCCGCUCCCCGAGGCUCCUCGCCUGGCCUCGUCCCGGCUUGGCAGUGCUGCACAUGGAGCUUCUCCCUAAGGAUAAGCAUCAUCCUUCUCUUUAUAUGGUUGCUGAGCACAGAGCUGCUAUCUGUGCAUGUCUUUGCAGUUGAUUUGUCUGUUGUCUAUAGAAAAAAAAUAUUUGGGGAAUAAUGAAACAAUCCAAAUGACAUUUAGUUUGGGGAAAUAACAGUAAGUGGUUAAGAUGACAUUAUAAAGUGUACUGAGUGUUUCUCGUUGUGUUUUCAUUUGAUUGUAACACUCACCAAGACCAGAUUUAUGCCUGGUUUACAAAUGAGACAAAGGCAACUGCUAGAGCCUAUUAAUUCGUGCAUUUCCUUUGACUUAGCUAGAUUUUUCUUGUACUAUAAACCUGUAUUCAAGUCAAGCAAAUAAUGGGAAGGAAUUGAUCUAGAAAUAUCUUGAUUUCUCUUUUAAAUUUAAAAAAACAUGGACCUGAAAUGUGCUGGUGUCCAUAUCAAUGGACACAAACUUG